CGAUUCGNGUGGCGGACGGUGAGUAACGCGUGGGUAACCUGCCUUACGACAGGGGGAGUAACAACCUGGAAACAGGUGCUAAUACCGCAUAAGCGCACAGGGCCGCAUGGCCCGGUGUGAAAACUCCGGUGGUGUAAGAUGGACCCGCGUCUGAUUAGCUUGUUGGCGGGGUAGGGCCCACCAAGGCGACGAUCAGUAGCCGGCCUGAGAGGGUGGACCGGCCACAUUGGGACUGAGACACGGCCCAAACUCCUACGGGAGGCAGCAG
rnacentral:rRNA from 1 species